rnacentral:lncRNA from 1 species
UAUGUGAAAGUAUGCUUAAUACAUAUGGCUGUGAUACUUGCCUAGGAAAGAUCUUAAAAAUGUUACCUCUGGCUUAUCUCAAGGCUCUGUGUCAUUAAGAAGUGAAAGCAAGAGCUUUUAAAUAAGCCCUUCAAAGCUGGAAUUGACACUUCAUAAAGAACCUUUCCCAGAGGAUGGAACAUACAUAGCUAGGUCAGUUGAAAUCAUCUAAAUAGUCAUUGAACACUAUAUUAUAGUGGCAUAAGUGUGACCACUUGUAAGCCUUGCUUACAAAUUAAGAUCAGGAAUUUAAAAAGAAAAGCAGACAAGUUGGUGACCAUAUGCAGGUAAUCUAAACUGUAAAAUAAUUAAAUAAUUCUUGAAACUGCUAAGUUAGUACCAUUAGGAAAACAAAAACAAAACAUAGGUACAUUGGGAGGAUAGUGCCUCCAGGAUUCUGAUGUAGGCACGCUAAAAUAUGCUUCAUAAAAUGUUCAAUUUUAAGCAAAAUAUUUAAACUUCAAAGAAUUAUGAAAUAUGUCAGGGAGUUUAUCAAAUGGUGAAAGAAUUUACCCUUUAGACAAGAAGAAAUAAAAGCAGUUUAUUUAAUAUCACUGCUAGAGCAAUAGAUAUGGCAAUAAUUAAAGAACUACUUGCAUAUGAUAAUUUGAUACAGGGAUGAGUCCUGUGUGGGUAAGGUGAGACAUUUUGCUUAAUUUUUCUCUCAUGUACUUUGUGUCAUGCAAAUGAAGGUGGCUUUGUGGUAUUCAGUUAAUUUUUUUUCUUUACAUUUUUUAUUAGGUAUUUAGCUCAUUUACAUUUCCAAUGCUAUACCAAAAGUCCCCCGUAGCCACCCACCCCACUCCCCUACCCACCCACUCCCCCUUUUUGGCCCUGGCGUUCCCCUGUACUGGGGCAUAUAAAGUUUGCGUGUCCAAUGGGCCUCUCUUUCCAGUGAUGGCCGACUAGGCCAUCUUUUGAUACAUAUGCAUUUUGAUACACACUUCUAAGGAGGGGCAUAGUGUCCACACUUCAGUCUUCAUUUUUCUUGAGUUUCAUGUGUUUAGGAAAUUGUAUCUUAUAUCUUGGGUAUCCUAGGUUUUGGGCUAAUAUCCACUUAUCAGUGAGUACAUAUUGUGUGAGUUCCUUUGUGAAUGUGUUACCUCACUCAGGAUGAUGCCCUCCAGGUCCAUCCAUUUAGCUAGGAAUUUCAUAAAUUCAUUCUUUUUAAUAGCUGAGUAGUACUCCAUUGUGUAGAUGUAUCACAUUUUCUGUAUCCAUUCCUCUGUUGAGGGGCAUCUGGGUUCUUUCCAGCUUCUGGCUAUUAUAAAUAAGGCUGCUAUGAACAUAGUGGAGCAUGUGUCCUUCUUACCAGUUGGGGCAUCUUCUGGAUAUAUGCCCAGGAGAGGUAUUGCUGGAUCCUCCGGUAGUACUAUGUCCAAUUUUUCUGAGGAACCGCUAGACUGAUUUCCAGAGUGGUUGUACAAGCCUGCAAUCCCACCAACAAUGGAGGAGUGUUCCUCUUUCUCCACAUCCAUGCCAGCAUCUGCUGUUACCUGAAUUUUUGAUCUUAGCCAUUCUGACUGGUGUGAGGUGGAAUCUCAGGGCUGUUUUGAUUUGCAUUUCCCUGAUGAUUAAGGAUGUUGAACAUUUUUUCAGGUGCUUCUCUGCCAUUCGGUAUUCCUCAGGUGAGAAUUCUUUGUUCAGUUCUAAGCCCCAAUUUUUAAUGGGGUUAUUUGAUUUUCUGAAGUCCACCUUCUUGAGUUCUUUAUAUAUGUUGGAUAUUAGUCCCCUAUCUGAUUUAGGAUAGGUAAAGAUCCUUUCCCAAUCUGUUGGUGGUCUUUUUGUCUUAUUGACGGUGUCUUUUGCCUUGGAGUUUCAUUAGGUCCCAUUUGUCAAUUCUCGAUCUUACAGCUAUUCAGUUAAUUUUGAUUGUCAAACCAUUCCGAUUUGAUUAGAUUAGAUUAGAUUGGAGUUUUCUGGACUAUGCAUUCAUUGGAGACCUGAAAACUUUCUGGACUCUCAGUUACAGCCUUCUUGUCAGAGGAAAUAAUAUAUAUACAGGACAAAAUGAAACACCUAAACAAAAACUGCCAACAGAAAGCUGUUCUUUGCCAUUCCUUAUUUGUCUUAAUUGAUGCAGCCUUGGCUGGCUCGGAUCUUACUGGAUAGAAUAGGCUGGACUGGAACUUAUGGCCAUCUUCCUACGUCUGUCUCCAGAGUUCUGGGAUUGUAGGCAUGCUUUACUAUGCCCAGCUAUGCACAUACAGAUAAUUUAUAAGAUUUGUAAAGUUAGCCAUUAUAAAUGUGAAACCUUAAAGAAUUUAGUGAAAAAGUCUGAAGGACUAAAGAGGAAAAAAAAUGAUGUUUCAUCAAAGAGAGACUACAAUGAUGGUGUAGACUUUAAAAAGAGACACAUGAAUAUUCUGGAAUUUAAAAGCAUAGCAAAUGAGUUACCAGAGGGACUCAACAGCAUACAUGAACUAGCAGGGUAAGUAGCCAACUUGGAAAUAGUUCCACAGAGAUUAUCUGGUGUAAGGAGAUCCCCCCACAAACAAAAUACAGGAAAGUGACAAAGAGACACCAUCACAUGUACCAAUGUAGGCAUAAACAGCUCCAUGAGAUGUUCUUUUGCCACUUUGUGAGUUCUUCCUUCUUUUCCCCUCUAUCCAUUUUCUUCCUAACACCUUAACACUAAAUUGGAGAACCGGAAAUUAAAAAAAGAUGAAAAAAAAAAGAUAGAGCGGAAAGGGAGUGAUGUUAUCACUAGACUACUAAUUAGGGGCAUCAAGUUUCUUGGGGCAAGUUUGAUCUUCAUGAUCUUCAUGUGCAUGAGUACUUCACAAACCACAACCAACAGCAACCAACAACCAACCAAUAACCCACACUGCCUCUUGGGACCCUAGCAUCUAUAUAGCCUCUGAAAAGACCUCAGAUUUCCAAACACACAGUCACAGAAAUUAUCUUCAGCUAGCAAAGUCACCCCCGUUCUAGAGCGCAAAGCAAAUCAUAGUCAGCUGCUGGGGAAGCAGCCCCAUAUCCCACAUUGAGAUUAUAAUGAAAAUCUAUUCUUACAAUAUUUCUUUGUUUUUAAAGAAACCAAAUUUCUCACUACAGGUCUAGAAGAGAAGACAAGGAUAAUAUUUAAAGAAACAAUUUCAGAAAACUUCCCAAGUGAGCUAAAAUAUAUUAAUUUAUACAUUCAAGAAGUUGAGGAUAAUCUGAAUGAGUUAAAUACCAAGAUACCCAUAUCUAGAUACUCUUGUACACUUAUGAAAGUGAAUGGCAGAAAGGCAUUGAUGGUAGCUGGGGAUUGACACUCAGUUACAGUACUUGGGUUGGAAGACAUUUCAUCAUUGGAUGGAAAAGACUGUUGACCAGAAGUUUUGUGUCUAGCCAAACUCUU